rnacentral:rRNA from 1 species
UACGUAGGGGGCUAGCGUUGUCCGGAAUCAUUGGGCGUAAAGAGCGUGUAGGCGGCCCGGUAAGUCCGCUGUGAAAGUCGGGGGCUCAACCCUGGGAUGCCGGUGGAUACUGUCGGGCUAGAGUACGGAAGAGGCGAGUGGAAUUCCCGGUGUAGCGGUGAAAUGCGUAGAUAUCAAGAGGAACACCUGAGGUGAAGACGGGUUGCUGGGCCGACACUGACGCUGAGGCGCGAAAGCCAGGGGAGCAAACGGG